GACGAACGCUGGCGGCGUGCUUAACACAUGCAAGUCGAACGGAAAGACCCUGCUUUUGUGGGGUGCUCGAGUGGCGAACGGGUGAGUAACACGUGAGUAACCUGCCCUUGACUUUGGGAUAACUUCAGGAAACUGGGGCUAAUACCGGAUAGGAGCUCCUGCUGCAUGGUGGGGGUUGGAAAGUUUCGGCGGUUGGGGAUGGACUCGCGGCUUAUCAGCUUGUUGGUGGGGUAGUGCUUACCAAGGCUUUGACGGGUAGCCGGCCUGAGAGGGUGACCGGCCACAUUGGGACUGAGAUACGGCCCAGACUCCUACGGGAGGCAGCAGUGGGGAAUAUUGCACAAUGGGCGGAAGCCUGAUGCAGCAACGCCGCGUGCGGGAUGACGGCCUUCGGGUUGUAAACCGCUUUCGCCUGUGACGAAGCGUGAGUGACGGUAAUGGGUAAAGAAGCACCGGCUAACUACGUG
rnacentral:rRNA from 1 species